rnacentral:lncRNA from 1 species
ACCAAAUUCAUGUCUGAAACUGGCCACGAUAAGACAGGAAUGCACGUCUGGUGUAAACGUGCAAGCGUAUAUAUAUAUGUGUGUGUUAUCUCACAAUUGCAAGCUAUCCUUACACGAGUAAUUCUGGUUUGGUUUCUCCCUUUACGCCCUGGAACAAUCUCUUUGUUUUAAGAAGACUGAAUUGAUAUCAAAUAGUCUUCCCAACAAGUACACAAUACUUUUCAGGGGAACGUUUUUUCACACCUGAGCGACGCUGACACCGUACCUGACAUAAUAAUGAUAAUAUUGCUAUACUCUAUGAAAUAUCACGAGCCAUGCAGGUGUAUUUCAAUACCAUGCAGUCAUCAUGCAAAUUGGGUCAUAUAGACCGUGCAGGAUUGUUAGUUAUUGUACUGGUACUUCACAAUUAUGGUUCCAAAUGGUACAAUAAUAGACCAGAAUCAGGCAGUUUCCACACGUGUGUUUAUAUACAGUAUGUCUAGCUCUACAUAUUGCUACCUUACAACAUAACGUUAAACUCAUUCUAAGCUAUGAGUUCGGUACACUAAAAUAUUACGGACGUAAUGCUAAUUGGAUUUUCCUUGUAUCAUUAUUCAAUAAACAAGGUGGUGUAUCAGAAUUAUAUGAUGUUCAUUAUACUUCAUUAUAGUUCAAUUAUGUAGUUUCCACUACAUUGUAAAACCAAUCAGUUACUUACCAUGCAAAAGACAUCGUCGAAAACGUGGGCAUGUCACAAGUAAUGUUUACAAACAUUCUAAUGACUGUGGAGCCAGGGAACUAUAUGGCUGCAUGGGUCCUUCUACAGAGUAAAAACCAUUGACUACACAUCCGUGGUAAAAACUGAAGAGGUGCAAUGUUUUCUGACAGAGUAUGUCUUGCAGACAGAUUAUAGACUUGCAAAAGGGCAAAUUGUGUUACAAUACAAUUUAGAAAUACUCCUUAUGGGAGGCCAUUACUGGCACAGUGAACAGUAUGCCAAUUUAUUUAAUAUAUAAACUGUGUUUGAUUAAUUUAAUUAGUAACAAUGUUGCAGAGCAUUUGUUAAACAUUCGAACGUAGAACAAGCUACUAAAAUCAGUGGUUGUGUGGAAGUCACCUACCACGACAAAAAAUUUCUCUGAGGAAUUUUAACAAAUAACAGACUUUGGAAAACUGCUGAUAUUAUGUGGGCCCCACACACAAGUGGGAAUCCUAAUUCCUUUGCACAGGUUUACUCGGAACAAGGGUCGUUGACCUGAUGAUUUUCCUGGUAAAGUGAUAUUAUCGGCGUUAAUACUAAACUAUUGAGUUUUGAGUAUUGCAUUAUGGAUAUAGCAUGAAAAAUACUGGUAAUACUGUUCAGUUCCAAGCAAAAUUUUAGGGAAUACUCAUGACGAAUAUGCAUACAACAUUCAAAUAUGCAUUUAAUUCAUUAUAUUAUUGAAGAUUAUCACUGACAAUCUUUGCUGUUAAUUAAUUUACCAUUCCAUGAGUGUUAGCUCAAUUUCACCUUUUGUGAAAUGGUUAUACAUGGCUCUCGUGAUUCCAACACUUUGAAUAUCUCACAUGACUCCUUA